rnacentral:rRNA from 1 species
CGAGGACGAACGCUGGCGGCGUGCUUAACACAUGCAAGUCGAACGGGGCGAUUUAAAAGCUUGCUUUGAUGAGCCUAGUGGCAAACGGGUGAGUAACGCGUAGGCAACCUGCCCUCAGGAUGGGGACAACGGCCCGAAAGGACCGCUAAUACCGAAUGACGUAUUGGGAUCGCAUGAUACUGAUACCAAAGGCGGAGCAAUCCGUCACCUGAGGAUGGGCCUGCGUCUGAUUAGGUAGUUGGUGGGGUAACGGCCUACCAAGUCGACGAUCGGUAGCCGGACUGAGAGGUUGAACGGCCACAUUGGGACUGAGACACGGCCCAGACUCCUACGGGAGGCAGCAGUGGGGGAUAUUGCACAAUGGGCGAAAGCCUGAUGCAGCAACGCCGCGUGAGGGAAGAAGUAUUUCGGUAUGUAAAGCUCUAUCAGCAGGGAAGAAGAAAUGACGGUACCUGACUAAGAAGCCCCGGCUAACUACGUG